rnacentral:rRNA from 1 species
AUUGAACGCUGGCGGCAGGCCUAACACAUGCAAGUCGAACGGUAACAGGAAACAGCUUGCUGUUUCGCUGACGAGUGGCGGACGGGUGAGUAAUGUCUGGGAAACUGCCUGAUGGAGGGGGAUAACUACUGGAAACGGUAGCUAAUACCGCAUAACGUCGCAAGACCAAAGAGCGGGACCUUCGGGCCUCUUGCCAUCGGAUGUGCCCAGAUGGGAUUAGCUAGUAGGUGGGGUAACGGCUCACCUAGGCCACGAUCCCUAGCUGGUCUGAGAGGAUGACCAGCCACACUGGAACUGAGACACGGUCCAGACUCCUACGGGAGGCAGCAGUGGGGAAUAUUGCACAAUGGGCGCAAGCCUGAUGCAGCCAUGCCGCGUGUAUGAAGAAGGCCUUCGGGUUGUAAAGUACUUUCAGCGGGGAGGAAGGGAGUAAAGUUAAUACCUGUACUCAUUGACGUUACCCGCAGAAGAAGCACCGGCUAACUCCGUG